GGCACAUUAGUUCAGUGGUUAGAACAUCACAUAAUGAUUAAUUAAAGGUAGUUAUUGUGAAGGUCACUGGUUCAAAUCCAGUAUGUGCUUC
rnacentral:tRNA from 1 species